rnacentral:rRNA from 1 species
UCUGGCAGCAAUGGCGAGAAGGCCACACCCGUUCCCAUACCGAACACGGAAGUUAAGCUUCUCAGCGCCGAUGGUAGUUGGGACCUUGUCCCUGUGAGAGUAGGACGUUGCCAGGC